AAACAUCUCUGGGGGGAAAAUGUUUUUGGUAUAACCUGCUCAAUGCAUUAGUUAAUAGCUGCAGUAUUUUGACUGUACAAAGGUAGCAUAAUCAUUAGUUUUUUUAUUGGAGGCUUGUAUGAAUGGUUGAACAGAAGAUUAACUUUCUUUAAUUUAAGAAUGUUGAAUUUAAAUUUUACGUAAAAAUGCGUGUAUAAAAAAAAGGGACGAUAAGACCCUAUAGAAUUUAAUAAAUUGGUAAAAAAUUUUUUUGUUGGGGUGACAUAAAUUAACUUUUAUAAAAUCUACAUUUGUUAAUGUAUAAAGGAUCCUUUAUGUAAGAUAAGAAGAUAAAAUUACCUUAGGGAUAACAGCAUAAUUCUUUUUUAAAGAUCUUAUUAAUAAAAGAGAUUAUGACCUCGAUGUUGAAUUAAAGUUGUUUUAAGGUGAAGAAGCUUUAGAU
rnacentral:rRNA from 1 species